rnacentral:rRNA from 1 species
GACGAACGCUGGCGGCGUGCCCUACACAUGCAAGUCGAACGGAACUGUUUUGAAAGAUUUCUUCGGAAUGAAUUUGAUUUAGUUUAGUGGCGGACGGGUGAGUAACGCGUGAGUAACCUGCCUUCAAGAGGGGAAUAACAUUCUGAAAAGAAUGCUAAUACCGCAUGACAUAUCGGAACCACAUGGUUUUGAUAUCAAAGAUUUUAUCGCUUGAAGAUGGACUCGCGUCCGAUUAGUUAGUUGGUGAGGUAACGGCUCACCAAGACCGCGAUCGGUAGCCGGACUGAGAGGUUGAACGGCCACAUUGGGACUGAGACACGGCCCAGACUCCUACGGGAGGCAGCAGUGGGGGAUAUUGCGCAAUGGGGGCAACCCUGACGCAGCAACGCCGCGUGAAGGAUGAAGGUUUUCGGAUUGUAAACUUCUUUUAUUAAGGACGAAAAAUGACGGUACUUAAUGAAUAAGCUCCGGCUAACUACGUG